GGGCUAUAGCUCAAUGGUAGAGCAUCUGCCUUGCAUGCAGACAGUCUCAGGUUCAAUCUCUGGCAUCUCCA